rnacentral:rRNA from 1 species
UUCCUACGGGGGGCAGCAGUGGGGGAUAUUGGACAAUGGGGGAAACCCUGAUCCAGCGAUGCCGCGUGAGGGAAGAAGGUUUUCGGAUUGUAAACCUCUGUGGAGGGGGACGAUAAUGACGGUACCCCUUUAGGAAGCCACGGCUAACUACGUGCCAGCAGCCGCGGUAAUACGUAGGUGGCGAGCGUUGUCCGGAAUUACUGGGUGUAAAGGGAGCGCAGGCGGGAAGCCAAGUCAGCUGUGAAAACUACGGGCUUAACUUGUAGACUGCAGUUGAAACUGGUUUUCUUGAGUGAAG